GUUUUCGUAGUCAAGCGGUCCAAGACAGAUGAUUGCAACCCUGAAGGUCACCAGUUCGAAUCUGGUCGAAAACU
rnacentral:tRNA from 1 species